AGAGUUUGAUCAUGGCUCAGAAUGAACGUUGGCGGCGUGGAUUAGGCAUGCAAGUCGAACGGGCCUGGUUGAAAGAUCAGGUCAGUGGCGCAAGGGUGAGUAAGGCGACGGCAACCAACCCCAUGGUUGGGCAUAGCCGCGGGAAACUGCGGGUAAUUCCCAGCGAUGUUCGUGUCGGGCAUCCGGCGCGAACCAAAGUUUCGGCGCCGUGGGACGGGCCGUCGUGGUAUUAGGUUGUUGGCGGGGUAAUGGCCCACCAAGCCUGUGAUGCCUACCGGGCGUGCGAGCGUGGCCCGGCACACUGGGACUGAGACACUGCCCAGACUCCUACGGGAGGCUGCAGUCGAGAAUCUUCGGCAAUGGGCGCAAGCCUGACCGAGCGACGCCGCGUGGAGGAUGAAGGCCUUCGGGUUGUAAACUCCUGUCGAGGGGGAGGAAGGCGCAAGCUUGACCUAUCCCUGGAGGAAGCACGGGCUAAGUUCGUGCCAGCAGCCGCGGUAAGACGAACCGUGCGAACGUUAUUCGGAAUCACUGGGCUUAAAGCGCGUGUAGGCGGAUGGGGACGUCGGUUGCUGAAAUCCCCCGGCUCAACCGGGGAACGGGCGCCGAAACGCCCCGUCUGGAGGGACGUAGGGGGACCUGGAACUUCCGGUGGAGCGGUGAAAUGCGUUGAGAUCGGAAGGAACGCCCGUGGCGAAAGCGAGGUCCUGGACGUUUUCUGACGCUGAGACGCGAAAGCUAGGGUAGCGAACGGGAUUAGAUACCCCAGUAGUCC
rnacentral:rRNA from 1 species